rnacentral:rRNA from 1 species
AGCGAACGCUGGCGGCAUGCUUAACACAUGCAAGUCGCACGGUCGGAGCAAUCCGGCAGUGGCGGACGGGUGAGUAACGCGUAGGUAUCUAUCCACGGGUGGGGGAUAACGGCGGGAAACUGCUGCUAAUACCGCAUGACACCUGAGGGUCAAAGGCGCGAGUCGCCUGUGGCGGAGCCUGCGUCCGAUUAGCUAGUUGGUGGGGUAAUGGCCUACCAAGGCGACGAUCGGUAGCUGGUCUGAGAGGAUGAUCAGCCACACUGGGACUGAGACACGG